AGUCGAACGAUGAAGCCCUUCGGGGUGGAUUAGUGGCGAACGGGUGAGUAACACGUGGGCAAUCUGCCCUUCACUCUGGGACAAGCCCUGGAAACGGGGUCUAAUACCGGAUAACACUCUGUCCCGCAUGGGACGGGGUUGAAAGCUCCGGCGGUGAAGGAUGAGCCCGCGGCCUAUCAGCUUGUUGGUGGGGUGAUGGCCUACCAAGGCGACGACGGGUAGCCGGCCUGAGAGGGCGACCGGCCACACUGGGACUGAGACACGGCCCAGACUCCUACGGGAGGCAGCAGUGGGGAAUAUUGCACAAUGGGCGAAAGCCUGAUGCAGCGACGCCGCGUGAGGGAUGACGGCCUUCGGGUUGUAAACCUCUUUCAGCAGGGAAGAAGCGAGAGUGACGGUACCUGCAGAAGAAGCGCCGGCUAACUACGUGCCAGCAGCCGCGGUAAUACGUAGGGCGCAAGCGUUGUCCGGAAUUAUUGGGCGUAAAGAGCUCGUAGGCGGCUUGUCACGUCGGAUGUGAAAGCCCGGGGCUUAACCCCGGGUCUGCAUUCGAUACGGGCAGGCUAGAGUGUGGUAGGGGAGAUCGGAAUUCCUGGUGUAGCGGUGAAAUGCGCAGAUAUCAGGAGGAACACCGGUGGCGAAGGCGGAUCUCUGGGCCAUUACUGACGCUGAGGAGCGAAAGCGUGGGGAGCGAACAGGAUUAGAUACCCUGGUAGUCCACGCCGUAAACGUUGGGAACUAGGUGUUGGCGACAUUCCACGUCGUCGUGCCGCAGCUAACGCAUUAAGUUCCCCGCCUGGGG
rnacentral:rRNA from 1 species